rnacentral:rRNA from 1 species
UAGAGUUUGAUCCUGGCUCAGAACGAACGCUGGCGGCAUGCCUAAUACAUGCAAGUCGAACGAGAUCUUCGGAUCUAGUGGCGCACGGGUGCGUAACGCGUGGGAAUCUGCCCUUGGGUUCGGAAUAACUUCUGGAAACGGAAGCUAAUACCGGAUGAUGACGUAAGUCCAAAGAUUUAUCGCCCAAGGAUGAGCCCGCGUAGGAUUAGGUAGUUGGUGAGGUAAAGGCUCACCAAGCCGACGAUCCUUAGCUGGUCUGAGAGGAUGAUCAGCCACACUGGGACUGAGACACGGCCCAGACUCCUACGGGAGGCAGCAGUAGGGAAUAUUGGACAAUGGGCGAAAGCCUGAUCCAGCAAUGCCGCGUGAGUGAUGAAGGCCUUAGGGUUGUAAAGCUCUUUUACCCGGGAUGAUAAUGACAGUACCGGGAGAAUAAGCUNCCGGCUAA